rnacentral:rRNA from 1 species
UGGGGAAUAUUGGACAAUGGGCGCAAGCCUGAUCCAGCCAUGCCGCGUGAGUGAUGAAGGCCCUAGGGUUGUAAAGCUCUUUCACCGGUGAAGAUAAUGACGGUAACCGGAGAAGAAGCCCCGGCUAACUUCGUGCCAGCAGCCGCGGUAAUACGAAGGGGGCUAGCGUUGUUCGGAUUUACUGGGCGUAAAGCGCACGUAGGCGGACUUUUAAGUCAGGGGUGAAAUCCCGGGGCUCAACCCCGGAACUGCCUUUGAUACUGGAAGUCUUGAGUAUGGUAGGGGUGAGUGGAAUUCCGGGUGUAGAGGUGAAAAUCGUAAAUAUUCAGAGGAACACCAGUGGCGAAGGCGGCUCACUGGACCAUAACUGACGAUGAGGUGCGAAAGAGUGGGGAGCAAACAGG